GACCAGGGGAACUAAGUAAGUUCCAUCAUCUGAGCAAUCACGGACUUAAAUUGCUCAGAACCAGAGGGAGAAGAGAAAACUAGCAGACGCUACAGACGCGUGAGGACCAGGGUUACCUGUGACUGUCAUAUCAAUGGAUUCAUCUUGUUUGUUGUCAGUGAAUGACUUAAAUUGGGGACAUAGUGUCUUUAUCCAUGAGGAAUUCUACUGGAGAAACAGAACAGAACACAUUUUCCAUAACCUGUAGUCACAUCGCAGAACUCUUAUCCAGAACGACUUACAGUAGGUGCAUUCAAGUAAUUAGCCUGGGAAAACGACAUAGUACUGCAUUGUAAGUAAAAGUAAGUAAGUGUUAGGGCCAUGAACUGUCUGCAUAUUGUUGGGGGGUGUGGUAGAAUGUGAGUGUAACUGUAGGCCUAAUCUCGUUCCCAGACGCGCUGUACACAAUAGCCUGGAGAGGAAGUUACUGUUGCCCUCGUGAUCUUGGCCUAUAAUAUUUAUUAAGACACAUAAGACCUCUCA
rnacentral:lncRNA from 1 species